CAGAAAGAAUAAAAAAAUCAAGCACACAAACAUUUACUUAUUUCGAUCUACAUCCACGAGUAAAGACGAAGCGAAAACUUUUAUUAUAACUAAAAUAGUGUACAAUAUAUGCUUCCCUCACAAAAUCCGUUCCAAAAAUAACUCACACUCUUCAUUUUCCACAACAAAUUUAUGGAAUGAAGGGUAUAUUUAUAAUAGUGGUUAAAUCCUAAUAUAACUAAAAAUACAAAUUUACUAAGACAAAGAGUAAUUUAAAUAAAAUUAGGUACAAUUUAAAUUUAACUUAAUAAGAUUACUAAAAUAGAAUAAUUUUAUGAAACUUUAUAUUUUUAGAAUUCGAGACAUAUCUAACAAUAAAAAUGAGAGAGUACACUGCACAAUUA
rnacentral:lncRNA from 1 species